AUGUGUAUUAUAUUUGCCGCCACAACUGAGGAAUUAAUUUCAUGUAAAUGGGUCAGCCACAGCUCCAAGAAUACGUGGAGGAGGUGGCACGGGUCGGCAUCGACGCCGUCCGGCGCACGCCACGGGCCCGCUUCCAAGUGCGUCUGCGCGCCGGCCACCCACGCCGGAUCCUUCAAGUGCCGCUUCCACCGCACCAACUCCCAGGGCCAGGGAAGCCGCCCUUCUUCGCCCCCUUCAGCCGCGGCCACCGCGGUGCCGCGGCACCCGGCCUCGCCGUCCUCGUCCCCCGGCACCGUCGCGACCCAGUGA
rnacentral:rRNA from 1 species